rnacentral:rRNA from 1 species
AUUGAACGCUGGCGGAAUGCUUUACACAUGCAAGUCGAACGGCAGCACGGGCUUCGGUCUGGUGGCGAGUGGCGAACGGGUGAGUAACAUAUCGGAACGUAUCCAAUAAUGGGGGAUAACUAAUCGAAAGGUUGGCUAAUACCGCAUACGCCCUACGGGGGAAAGCUAGGGACCUUCGGGCCUGGCGUUAAUGGAGCGGCCGAUAUCUGACUAGCUAGUUGGUGGGGUAAAGGCCCACCAAGGCGACGAUCAGUAGCUGGUCUGAGAGGACGACCAGCCACACUGGAACUGAGACACGGUCCAGACUCCUACGGGAGGCAGCAGUGGGGAAUUUCGGACAAUGGGCGCAAGCCUGAUCCAGCCAUUCCGCGUGAGUGAAGAAGGCCUUCGGGUUGUAAAGCUCUUUCGCAAGGGAAGAAAACUUACCCUCUAACAUAGGGUGAGGUUGACGGUACCUUGAUAAGAAGCACCGGCUAACUACGUGCCAGCAGCCGCCGUAAAAC